UUUGAGUUUGAUCAUGGCUCAGAUUGAACGCUGGCGGCAGGCCUAACACAUGCAAGUCGAGCGGUAACACAGGGAGCUUGCUCCUGGGUGACGAGCGGCGGACGGGUGAGUAAUGUCUGGGAAACUGCCUGAUGGAGGGGGAUAACUACUGGAAACGGUAGCUAAUACCGCAUAAUGUCGCAAGACCAAAGAGGGGGACCUUCGGGCCUCUUGCCAUCAGAUGUGCCCAGAUGGGAUUAGCUAGUAGGUGGGGUAAUGGCUCACCUAGGCGACGAUCCCUAGCUGGUCUGAGAGGAUGACCAGCCACACUGGAACUGAGACACGGUCCAGACUCCUACGGGAGGCAGCAGUGGGGAAUAUUGCACAAUGGGCGCAAGCCUGAUGCAGCCAUGCCGCGUGUAUGAAGAAGGCCUUCGGGUUGUAAAGUACUUUCAGCGAGGAGGAAGGCAUUAAGGUUAAUAACCCCAGUGAUUGACGUUACUCGCAGAAGAAGCACCGGCUAACUCCGUGCCAGCCGCCGCCGUAACACAAA
rnacentral:rRNA from 1 species